rnacentral:rRNA from 1 species
GAUGAACGCUGGCGGCGUGCCUAAUACAUGCAAGUCGAGCGAACAGACGAGGAGCUUGCUCCUUCGACGUUAGCGGCGGACGGGUGAGUAACACGUAGGUAACCUACCUAUAAGACUGGGAUAACUUCGGGAAACCGGAGCUAAUACCGGAUAAUAUUUCGAACCGCAUGGUUCGAUAUUGAAAGAUGGCUUUGCUAUCACUUAUAGAUGGACCUGCGCCGUAUUAGCUAGUUGGUAAGGUAACGGCUUACCAAGGCAACGAUACGUAGCAGACCUGAGAGGGUGGUCAGCCACACUGGAACGGAAACAAGAUCCAGACUACUACGGGAGGCGACAGAAGAGAAUGUUCCGCAAUGGGCGAAAGCCUGACGGAGCAACGCCGCGUGAGGGAUAAAGGUCUUCGGAUCGUAAAACUCUGUUAUUAGGGAAGAACAAACGUGUAAGUAACUGGGCACGUCUUGACGGUACCUAAUCAGAAAGCCACGGCUAACUACGUG